rnacentral:lncRNA from 1 species
CCAUUGUGCGUAUUAUGAAAUCUAGACGUGUCUUGGAUCACAACAACAUUGUUACAGAAGUUACCAAGCAGUUGCAAUCCCGUUUCUUGUCAAACCCUGCAGUGAUUAAAAAGCGAAUUGAAUCUCUGAUAGAGAGGGAGUUCUUAGAGAGAGACAAAACCGAUAGGAAAUUAUACCGAUAUCUUGCCUGAAUCAGCCACCACCUUUAUUUCUUUGUGAAUUUGAGGUCAUUCUGAUGGAGUGACCUCUCCAUUUGUAUGUGACAGGCGAUCAAACUAAUGUUGCAUUUAAUUAUUUUC